ACUCAAAGGAAUAGACGGGGGCCCGCACAAGCGGUGGAGCAUGUGGUUUAAUUCGACGCAACACGCAGAACCUUACCUGGUCUUGACAUCCUUCGAACCUGCCCGAAAAGGUGGGGUGCCCGCAAGGGAGCGAAGAGACAGGUGCUGCAUGGCUGUCGUCAGCUCGUGUCGUGAGAUGUUGGGUUAAGUCCCGCAACGAGCGCAACCCUCGCCUUUAGUUGCCACGCAAGUGGAUCUCUAGAGGGACUGCCGGUGUUAAACCGGAGGAAGGUGGGGAUGACGUCAAGUCCUCAUGGCCCUUAUGACCAGGGCUACACACGUGCUACAAUGGCCGGUACAAUGCGUUGCCAACUCGCGAGAGGGAGCAAAUCGCCUAAAACCGGUCUCAGUUCGGAUUGGAGUCUGCAACUCGACUCCAUGAAGUCGGAAUCGCUAGUAAUCGAAGAUCAGCACGCUUCGGUGAAUACGUUCCCGGGCCUUGUACACACCGCCCGU
rnacentral:rRNA from 1 species